CCAACGGCCCUUUUCAGGGCCACCCACAUCUGAAGAAAAGAUGCCU
rfam:Crassostrea gigas strain 05x7-T-G4-1.051#20 contig23565, whole genome shotgun sequence.